AGAGUUUGAUCCUGGCUCAGGAUGAACGCUAGCGGUGUGCCUAAUGCAUGCAAGUCGAACGGGAACCUUUGGAUUCGUCUGAAGGGGAGAGUGGCGGACGGGUGAGUAACGCGUUGGUGACCUGCCCCAGAGAGGGGGACAACCAUUGGAAACGAUGGCUAAUACCCCAGAUGUCAUUGUGUUUAGAAAGCAAUGACUAAAGCUCCGGCGCUCUGGGAGGGGCCUGCGUCCCAUCAGCUUGUUGGUAAGGUAAUGGCUCACCAAGGCUAAGACGGGUAGGGGACGUGAGAGCGUGACCCCCCACACUGGUACUGAAACACGGACCAGAUACCUACGGGUAGCAGCAGCAAGGAAUAUUGCCCAAUGGACGAAAGUCUGAGGCAGCAACACCGCGUGGAGGACGAAGGCCUUCGGGUCGUAAACUCCUUUUCUGGGGGAAGAGAACGGACGGUACCCCAGGAAUAAGGCCCGGCUAACUACGUGCCAGCAGCCGCGGUAAAACGUAGGGGUCGAGCGUUAUCCGGAUUUACUGGGCGUAAAGAGCAUGUAGGCGGUUGCUUAAGUCGGACGUGAAAGCUCCUGGCUCAACUAGGAGAGGCCGUUCGAAACUGAGCAACUCGAGGAUGGUAGAGGAGAGUGGAAUUCCCGGUGUAGUGGUGAAAUGCGUAGAUAUCGGGAGGAACACCAGUGGCGAAGGCGGCUCUCUGGGCCAUUCCUGACGCUGAGAUGCGAAAGCUAGGGGAGAGAACGGGAUUAGAAACCCCGGUAUUCCUAGCCGUAAACGAUGUCAACUAGGUGUAGGAGGUAUUGACCCCUUCUGUGCUGCAGCAAACGCGUUAAGUUGACCGCCUGGGGACUACGGCCGCAAGGCU
rnacentral:rRNA from 1 species